rnacentral:sRNA from 1 species
UUUUUGCGUUAGCGAUAGUAGCGGCAUCCUUUUUUGUGUCGGUUUAGCACAAAAAAGAUAUAGCGGAUAGCGCGACCCUUG